UACAGGGGGGGCAAGCGUUGUUCGGAAUUACUGGGCGUAAAGGGCCAGUAGGCGGCCAACUAAGUCCGACGUGAAAUCCCCAGGCUUAACCUGGGAACUGCGUCGGAUACUGGUUGGCUUGAGUUCGGGAGAGGGAUGCGGAAUUCCAGGUGUAGCGGUGAAAUGCGUAGAUAUCUGGAGGAACACCGGUGGCGAAGGCGGCAUCCUGGACCGACACUGACGCUGAGGAGCGAAAGCCAGGGGAGCAAACGGG
rnacentral:rRNA from 1 species